AAGAGCUUGCUCUUAUGAAGUUAGCGCCCUUUGGGUGAGUAACACGUGGGUAACCUGCCCAUAAGACUGGGAUAACUCCGGGAAACCGGGGCUAAUACCGGAUAACAUUUUGAACCGCAUGGUUCGAAAUUGAAAGGCGGCUUCGGCUGUCACUUAUGGAUGGACCCGCGUCGCAUUAGCUAGUUGGUGAGGUAACGGCUCACCAAGGCAACGAUGCGUAGCCGACCUGAGAGGGUGAUCGGCCACACUGGGACUGAGACACGGCCCAGACUCCUACGGGAGGCAGCAGUAGGGAAUCUUCCGCAAUGGACGAAAGUCUGACGGAGCAACGCCGCGUGAGUGAUGAAGGCUUUCGGGUCGUAAAACUCUGUUGUUAGGGAAGAACAAGUGCUAGUUGAAUAAGCUGGCACCUUGACGGUACCUAACCAGAAAGCCACGGCUAACUACGUGCCAGCAGCCGCGGUAAUACGUAGGUGGCAAGCGUUAUCCGGAAUUAUUGGGCGUAAAGCGCGCGCAGGUGGUUUCUUAAGUCUGAUGUGAAAGCCCACGGC
rnacentral:rRNA from 1 species